ACAUGACAAUAAUUUAUGCAUCUGAUAAAAUUGAAAUGAUAUAGAGAAGAUUAACAUGGCUCCUGCACAAAAUGACACGCAUAAAUAAGGAAAUUGUCCAAUUUUUU